rnacentral:tRNA from 1 species
CUCCAGCUAGCUCAGUCGGUUUAGCAUGAGACUCUUAAUCUCAGGGCCUUGGGCUCAGGCCCCAUGUUGGGUG